UAGACACUGACAGCCAGAAGAACAGAAGCAGCAGGAUAAGACGGGGCAUUAUGGCAGGUCCCAUUGCCAGCUCCUCACAGGAAAGUGACAGGAGACGUCCAGCUCGAAAAGCACCUUCAUCUGUUACAGCAACAUCAGAGGAUUGCAGAGAAGCAGCAAACUGGACAAAUGGUGUCAGUACUACAAAUACAAAGUCUAUCCCAUCAGCCCCUCUUGAAUGGGAGAGCAGCAUGUUUUCAAAUUUUCAUACAGGAUUCAUAGACCGUAGUGGACAUGAGAGGACGUCAGACGUCAAACAUCGCUUAAAGAAUUCGGCACCCAGCCCAAAACUGGAUGGACUCCAUGUGUUGGAAAUGGUUUUGGGUAGUGCACCUAAAAUCUUCAACAGAUUACAUUUUGUA